rnacentral:rRNA from 1 species
GAUGAACGCUGGCGGCGUGCCUAAUACAUGCAAGUCGAGCGAACGGACGAGAAGCUUGCCUCUCUGAUGUUAGCGGCGGACGGGUGAGUAACACGUGGAUAACCUGCCUAUAAGACUGGGAUAACUUCGGGAAACCGGAGCUAAUACCGGAUAAUAUUUUGAACCGCAUGGUUCAAAAGUGAAAGACGGUCUUGCUGUCACUUAUAGAUGGAUCCGCGCUGCAUUAGCUAGUUGGUAAGGUAACGGCUUACCAAGGCAACGAUGCAUAGCCGACCUGAGAGGGUGAUCGGCCACACUGGAACUGAGACACGGUCCAGACUCCUACGGGAGGCAGCAGUAGGGAAUCUUCCGCAAUGGGCGAAAGCCUGACGGAGCAACGCCGCGUGAGUGAUGAAGGUCUUCGGAUCGUAAAACUCUGUUAUUAGGGAAGAACAUAUGUGUAAGUAACUGUGCACAUCUUGACGGUACCUAAUCAGAGAGCCACGGCUAACUACGUG